rnacentral:lncRNA from 1 species
CUUAGUGUAAGCACUGCUCUACAACAAUUAAAACAUCAGAGUGUUAUCAACAUUAUUCUCAUCCUAAAUCCAAAACAUAGCACCCUACCAGCUACUAGGAGGAAGAUUAACUCUAUCCUAGCUGAAACCAGGACAAAUUGUAACAGGGUUAAACUUUAAUUGUUGGCAGAAUCUUUGAUAACCUCUUUGACAGAUGUUUCCUAAAGUAAAACAGUCAUGUAAAUAUUAGCUAUGGUGUAAUAAAAUAAAAUAUAGUAAAAUAUUAGAUCAUCCAGAAAGGUGCCAACAUUAUCCAACUACCACUAGAACAACUGUGCUAAUAGGUUACCAGCCUAGUCUAGUUUUUUCUUAGUCUAUACUAUCCCACAAAACAAAGAACUUAAAAAAUUUAAAAGAGGAAAGAAAGUGAAUUUCCCAAUUAAAAGAAACCCACUAUACAAAUACAUAGAAUUCAUAUUAAGAAAUUCUUUUGUAUAAAUGCACUGCCCUUGUAGCAGGUCAGUAUGUAGAAGACAUACUGAAAAGAUUCUUCUCUCCCUUUAUGACUAUAUGAGUGUCACACAAGUAGGUUCUCUCAUUAGAUAUGCACCAAGCUUCAGGCCUACCACAGAGUUAGUCCAUUAACAAACACUUUGUUGUUAAAUAUUUCAUUGUUAUGAGCUCAUGCUUAAACCUAAAGAGCAAUCUGUGAAACAAUGGAGUGUUAAAGAUUUUACUGCCCAUAAAACAACAUGAGAGUAACUUUUAGAAAUCUGCAGAAGAAUUCUGGAAAAGGAUGGCUUUCUUUGCCUUUUAUUGCUUCUUGGUGAAUAAUUUCUGUUUACGAACUCCCUACAGUAAUGCAGAGGAUCAAUAUUAAAUCUAUUGUGCAAAUGAAAUGAUAGGAAACUCUGAAGCUUGUUACCCAACUGUCUUCAGUCCCUUUAAGAUGGUGCCUCUGCAAACGUGAACACAGCAUGACUGAGAAGAUCCUGUUUGUGGACCUUGACUCAACCUUGGAUUAUUUAUUACUCAACGAAAUUUUGUACAGCCACUGCAAACCUCUGGGAGAUUGCCUGUGGCAGUAUGUCCUUGUUCAUGAGGAACUCAUCAAUAUGUGCAAAUCCACAGUCCUCACUCAGCUCCAAACCCCAAAGCUUAUUGCCCUGAAGGAGUUGCCUUCUGUAUUUGGAGACUGGGAUUUCAGAGUAUCCAAGGGGUCUUCGUGGGAAGAGAAAACAAUAUGGACAGCUGGGGAUGGAGAAAGACUCCCACUUCUCUGA